GUUGAUUUUGUCCACCCAGACCAGACGCGAUCAGGACAUGUAGAUUGAAAUAUCAAAACAAACUCUGAACCAACUAUAUUAAUUUGGGGACAGGUCGAAAAGCAUUAAACAUUUAUGGAAAUUUAGCUAGCUGUUGCUAACUAAUUUGUCAAUUUAAUGAAGUUUCCCCAAGUUAUUCAUUAAUACAUUUAGCUAACAUUAGAUAGUUAAUCCAGAGAUACAUACCAUUGCCUCGAUUUGGCAGUCUUGUCCAGAUCACAUGGUAUUUGCAGUUCUUUAUGAUAGCCCCAUUAGCAGCUAAUUAACAUUUCAUUUUUUGCAGGUAAAUAUAUUGAUAAAAGUCACCUUGUCCUAGAGAGAUUUACACGGUUAUCAAAAGGUCACACCAGGGUACGCCUACACGAAACACAGACCAUAUGUUAAGUGUUUCUUAAAUUCCCUAUGGAAAAACGAUUGGGACCAUUUCCCUAUUUGACUGCUGGGUAUUAUGAAUCAUACCGUGGUACUCUAUUGGCUACAGUAAAAUCCCAAAUAAUUAGAGCUCUUCUCCUUUAAAUUUCAGAUUUUGUCUGGAGAAGAAUGACAAAUAUUUUACGACAGGACGUAUUCACCGGUUGUCAGAGCAACACCCUACCGCCGCUGUUGAGUUACAUUAGCAAUCGUUUCAGAGCGCACCACCACCAUUGUGGUGAAUAGGAAGACGUUUGAGAAAGUCAUGCAGCAUCAAAUCGAUUGCUGAGAAUUCAGUGUUCACGACAUCUUUCAAGAAAACUCAAUGUCCAUUUUCUAAACGAACGGUGUGUACAAUUUGAGCACAUUAGGCCUAGUGACCAAGUCUAGGUUACAUCCAUAAUAGGUGUGUGUGUGUGUGUGUGUGUGUGUGUGUGUGUGUGUGAGAGAGAGAGAUGGAGAGCUCCUUGUCCAUGUGUAUUUGUAAAUAUGUUGUUCCCUCUUUACAGAGCCCUGUUGCCUUUUGGAUGCACGUAGCAACAUACACCAAACAGGCCUAAUCAGAGACCUACAUUCCAUGCCUGUGGUCCUGUGCUAAGCACUAAAAGCCAGCCAAUGAUGCUAACCUUCACCACCCCUGAAGCAGAGGAGGAAGCCUGUUGCCGGGACUCCCCGCAGAAACCU
rnacentral:lncRNA from 1 species